rnacentral:rRNA from 1 species
GAUGAACGCUGGCGGCGUGCCUAAUACAUGCAAGUCGAGCGAACAGACGAGGAGCUUGCUCCUCUGACGUUAGCGGCGGACGGGUGAGUAACACGUGGAUAACCUACCUAUAAGACUGGGAUAACUUCGGGAAACCGGAGCUAAUACCGGAUAACAUGUUGAACCGCAUGGUUCAACAGUGAAAGACGGUCUUGCUGUCACUUAUAGAUGGAUCCGCGCCGCAUUAGCUAGUUGGUAAGGUAACGGCUUACCAAGGCAACGAUGCGUAGCCGACCCGAGAGGGUGAUCGGCCACACUGGAACUGAGACACGGUCCAGACUCCUACGGGAGGCAGCAGUAGGGAAUCUUCCGCAAUGGGCGAAAUCCUGACGGAGCAACGCCGCGUGAGUGAAGAAGGUCUUCGGAUCGUAAAACUCUGUUAUUAGGGAAGAACAAAUGUGUAAGUAACUAUGCACGUCUUGACGGUACCUAAUCAGAAAGCCACGGCUAACUACGUG